AGCUCACCAUCGUAAGGUAUCCGUGAGUUCAUUUCCUGGCGACGUGUUUUGUCCUUGAGCAAGAAACUUUAUUUCACGUUGCUCCAGUCCACUCAGCUGGCAAAAAUGAGUAGUACCUGUUUCUCAAAGGAGCCAGCCUCGUCACACUGUGUGUCACGCUGAAUCUUCAUGAGAACUACGUUACGGGUACACGUGUCUGUGAAGUGCUCGGCCACUUGCACGUUAAUUUCACGAGCAGGCUA